rnacentral:ncRNA from 1 species
GGCGUCGGGGAUGAAAAGGGAACCCUGUGAAAGUCGGGGACUAUACCCGUAGCUGUGAGUUUCGACGGAAUUCCGCACUUUUCUGUUUUGCCACUGCUUUUCGGAGCGGGAAGGCUGUGCGGAUGAAACGAGUCAGAAGACCUGCCUGUGCCGUU